CUGGGUUCAGUCUGCAGGUGGCUGCUAUUGGGCAGUUACUCAGGCUUUUAGUAACAGCCCUCUGGUUUGGUGUGGCGCUGUCACGCGGUUCUCAGGUCCGUGAGCUUCCACAGCUUCCCUCUGGUUCCUGGGUCGGGUUUAGGCCCUGCCUUUCCUGUGUGGAGCACUGAGAGAUGAAGAUGCUAUCAGGUGGAGGUCUUCCAAACUGCAGGAAGAAAUGAGAGAAAAGGAACGAUUAUACAGCAUCAGUCAGCAUCAGAAACUUUCUAAAUCGAAGAAAACAGUCAGCCUCAUGUAUAUCUGCUGCAUCUGAGGGUUGUAUCUCAACAAGGAGAGAAGAAAAACACAUUUUCCUCUUGUAAAAUUCACCCUGGACACUGGGUGCAUGUACAACCCCAUGGCUUCAAUCAUGUGAUCCUACCAACCUUGUCUCCCUCUUGCCCAACACCAUAAAUGCUUUUUUUUUCCCCCUUCCUUUGAGAGGCUAGUCUGGGACUUAAAUCACUCUUUCUACCUUAAAAGCCUGUGCUCACUCCACAGAUGAUACUCCCUUACCCUCCCAGACCCUCGGUUUCCAUAUCUAUCGUAUGAGAAAGAGGCUGUUAUUAUGAAACACACCACUAUGCAAACAAGGGAGAAAAUAUUAAUCAUUAAAGACAAGAUAUAUACCUUCACUACCAUCUCAGUGAUAAACAACAGUCAUCCUACGACUGUUUCUUUUGACUGUCAUAUAAAAUACACAAAUCUACAACCGAACAAAUAUUUCAGUAUUAAUCACUAAAUGUGGUCCUACUUGAAAUUCUGAACUGUAUGCUAUUUGUAAGUAGUUACGUUCUAAAAGGUGUCUUCUCUUAGUGCAGGAGACUGCACUUCUGUGGUCAAGAAAUGAAGGCCAAACUACUGCACAGCCCAGUUGCUGCAGCUUUUCGUCACUGUUUUCUCAAGAAAUACUGGUCUUAGUAAAUCUGUCACCCUGUGCUACUGAUGACUUGUGCUCAAGGAUCAGAAUUCUCUGGGUCUGAUGCAUUCUGGAUGUUUUGGCCAGAACUUUUUCGCCAAAAUAUGCUUCACCUCAAUAACAAAUUCUAUGGGGAAGCUCCUGAGUUCCUCAAUCCCCUAAACAUUUCCUUUUGACCAUGUGGUCCUGUAUGAGUUCAUAAUGUUUUGGGAUCAACUUUCCAAGAAUCUUGACAUUUUUAAAAGCUAUGAACCAAA